rnacentral:misc_RNA from 1 species
GAUGAAGAACGCAGCGAAAUGCGAUAAGUAAUGUGAAUUGCAGAAUUCAGUGAAUCAUCGAAUCUUUGAACGCACAUUGCGCCCGCCAGUAUUCUGGCGGGCAUGCCUGUUCGAGCGUCAUUUCAACCAUCAAGCCCCCGGCUUGUGUUGGGGACCUGCGGCUGCCGCAGGCCCUGAAAUGCAGUGGCGGGCUCGCUGUCACUCCGAGCGUAGUAGUUACAUCUGGCUCUGGGCGUGCUGCGGGUUCCGGCCGUUAAAAGCCUUAUUUACCCAAGGUUGACCUCGGAUCAGGUAGGAAGACCCGCUGAACUUAAGCAUAUCAAUAAGCGGAGGA